GUGGAAGACUGGACGGCCGCUGCCCGGUAACGGGGAGAGGAAAGUCCGGACUCGACAAAGCAUUGGUGCCGGGUAACGCCCGGGCAGGGCAACCUGACGGAUAGCGCCACAGAAAACAGACCGCCUUUUGGUUCGCCAAAAGGUAAGGGUGAAACGGUGGGGUAAGAGCCCACCGGGGGGCUGGCAACAGCGCCCGCAUGGCAAGCCCCACCGGGAGCAAUGCCAAAUAGGGACCUCGCGUGCGCUGAUCCUGCACGGGAUAUCGGCACAGGGCGGCUUUGGCCCGAGAGGUCCGGGUUGGCAGCAAGAGCGGCGUGGCAACGCGCCGCCUAGAUGAAUGGUCGUCGAACCCCGGCAACGGGGGGAACAAAAUCCGGCUUAUAGGUCUUCCACGCAA
rnacentral:RNase_P_RNA from 1 species